rnacentral:rRNA from 1 species
UACGUAGGGUGCGAGCGUUAAUCGGAAUUACUGGGCGUAAAGUGUGCACAGGCGGCCGCGCAAGUCGAGUGUGAAAUCCCCGAGCUUAACUUGGGAAUUGCGCUCGAAACUACGUGGCUCGAGUGUGGCAGAGGAAGGUGGAAUUCCACGUGUAGCGGUGAAAUGCGUAGAGAUGUGGAGGAACACCGAUGGCGAAGGCAGCCUUCUGGGCCAACACUGACGCUCAUGCACGAAAGCGUGGGAAGCAAACAGG